rnacentral:lncRNA from 10 species
AGAAAAGGUGGGGGUUUGCAAAGGGAGUAACUUCUGGUUCCUUUGUUACUUAGGUAUGGAAAGUUAGGGUUUUCCUUUCACUUUAGUUCUAGGAAGUCAGCGUGAAACGCCUGAAGUUUUCUGCCUCCAGACUCUACUCUCCUGCCUCAAUUCUACUCUCUACUUUUAUAAGCUCGACUCACAUUUGAUGACAUAGAAGACUUAAUUUCCUCCUCAUGAUUAAUCUCUCAGUUGGAGAGUAUACACACUCUUACACAGAAUCCAGGACGAAAGCCCUCAUCAGAUGCUUACAUCAUGAUCUUGGACUUCCCAGCCUCCAGACUGAUGCUAUGGAAGAUCAGAAAAUAUAAAUUUAUGAACUGCUAUAAACUGUUAUUUUCUUCGUGAAGAUCAGCACAACAAGAUGUUCCAGACUUAUUCAACAUAUUGUCCAGCCAGUCCUGGAAACAAUCAGUUCCCUGAGGACAGAAUUAAAGUUUAGAGACCUGAAUCUGGGCCCCAGGGGUGGUCAUUACUACUGGUUUGCCACUGCUUCUGUAGCUUUUCAGUGAAGAGGCACAUGCCACUGGCCCUCCAUGACACCUGCUCACCAGACACUGUCCUUCCACUUCAGAAGGAUACCGGAUCCUCAUCAGGCCGUCUGACUUCUUACCUUGGGAAUGAGAACCUUGACAGAGGAAGCCUCAGAACUGAAG